rnacentral:lncRNA from 1 species
AAGCAGACAAUAUCGUGCUACGGCGAAGUUGAUCCCGGGAUGUGACAAUUUGGUAUCAGAGCCACUCUGCCGUGUGGUGCGAGUGUUCCGAAGAGGACGUCGGGCCCUUAAGGGGGUGGAUUGUAAGAUUCCACAUCAACCAACGGAGAGGGGGUGAUGUGCCUUAUAUGUGCACACCCGCAUCCAUCUAGCACGAGGCCUUUUGGGAGCUCACUGGCUUCGGAGUCGUAGGAACUCCGAAGUUAAGCGAGUUGGGGGCCAGAGCAAUCACAGGAUGGAUGACCCACUGGGAAGUUGGUCGUAAGCUCCCAAAAAUAAAACCGUGAGGGCCAGAGAGGGAGGCCCAAAGCGGACAAUAUCGUGCUACGACGGAGUUGAUCCCGGGAUGUGACACAUCCAAUACUAU